UGUGAAUUUUAGUACUUGCUAAAGAAUUAAGGUAAUUCUUAAAAUUGGAGGUAGAGACUAAAGUCCAUAUCUUUAGGCUUUCAUAAUUCAUAUACUAAUUAGAUUUUUGAUUUUUUUCUUUUAUGUAGUUAUGGCUACCACAUUGUCACUUCGAUCACUAUUAGAUAGUAAUAAACUGAUGGGAUCUAAUUUCGAUAGUUGAUAUCGAAAAUUUAAAAUCAUCCUGAAGCACGAGCAGAUCUUGCAUGUUCUGACAGAUCCGACACUUG
rnacentral:lncRNA from 1 species